GAAAUGUAUGUGCACAUCUAUUCCUCCCGGAGUGACUAUGAGCCCCUCCGCACAUACUUCUUCCGUUCCCACGCCUACAACCAGGCCGGGUGUUAUAUCCAUGGUGUCCGGAUUUCCCGAUUUGCCGAUUCCUACGAUUUUGCCGUCCUUGAUGCCUAUAUCGCCUUUGACUAUGCCUAUUACGGGGUCCAUAAUCGUGGCGCAGGUUACCACAACAUCCAGUACGUCCGUCCCUUCAACGGGAUCUCCGGCCUUCUGCCCCAUGCCGUCUCU
rnacentral:sRNA from 1 species